AUACGUAGGGUGCGAGCGUUAAUCGGAAUUACUGGGCGUAAAGCGUGCGCAGGUGGUUUUGUAAGUCAGAUGUGAAAUCCCCGGGCUUAACCUGGGAACUGCGUUUGAAACUGCAAGGCUAGAGUGUGGCAGAGGGGGGUGGAAUUCCGCGUGUAGCAGUGAAAUGCGUAGAGAUGUGGAGGAACACCGAUGGCGAAGGCAGCCCCCUGGGUCAACACUGACGCUCAGGCACGAAAGCAUGGGGAGCAAACAGGAUUAGAAACCCUAGUAGUCC
rnacentral:rRNA from 1 species